GCCUCCUCCUCCUUCCCAGCACGCUGAGCGAUUGCAGUUCUCGUGUGCCGUGAUUGGUUUGAUCGAAGCAUUUCGGGUGCUGUCCUGUUAAAUUUGUGACACAUUUCCGUUCUGAUUUGCCUGGCUACGGAAUGAAUCCUAGGGUUCGUGGAUCUGGCUUGGCACUGUUGGAUGUGGAUCUUGGUCUAGUUCUAGCGAUUCACUUGUCUAGGUUGAUCUGUUGUGAAGAGGGGGAAAAACUGACCGACGCAAAAGGAUGAUCUUAAAGUUAGCUGUCAGUGUUAUAUACAAGAUUGUUGUGUCCUCUGCCAAGGACUCUCGUAUCGGCUCACUUGAGAUGUAUUGGAAAUUUUAACUCAUCCUAUAGCCUGGAGCUGCUAGAAUCGUAAGAUUAUGUUUUACAGUUUAGUACUUAGUUUUACUUAUCUGCUGGAAAAUAGAGAUGAAUAACCAUGAAUGCAUGAAGUAAUACAUAAUGAGCUUAAUCCGUGGCACCACCCGUUUCUGUUCUUGGCUUCAUUUCCCUGUCGUGUGCUAGCACGCUGCACGAGAUUAGGUUAUCCACUCGCGGUCUGGUUGGCGUCUGCCAGUUUCCUAUGUAUCAGGCUAUCAGAUUAUAGAUUGAUUGGCGUCAUCAUAGAUAAAUUAUCAAAAUUUUAUAAUUUUAUGUACACAGUCCGCACUCCGCACUGUAACAGGGGGGAAGUGAUUAGUAUCAAAAUGAAAUAGUAGAAGGUAGAAGAAUGCUUGAGAGCAAAUGCAUUUACGGAUUUAUGGUUGGGAGAAGGGAUUUAUUUUCGUAUGCAUUAGAUCCUACUGGACUGCUAGGAGAUUUCAAACUAUAUUUCACUAGGUGAAAUGAGAUUUCUUACACUGUGUUGUCCUUUCCAAGUUCCAUUGUUGGAUGCAUCAAAUCUCGGAUUGAUCAAACCCAACACCCUCGUUCAGUUCCGGGGGAUGGUUCAGGACAUGCUUGGGAAUGAAUUCUAUGUUGGGGCUUUCAAGGAAGACCUCGGCCCUGAAUUCGGCGUCCACGGCCAAACCCAGGAUUUGUGAGUUCCUAGUAGGGAACACAUGGACAUGAAGCUGCGGCGGCGACGGCGAUGAUAUCGACAUGGGGCUGUGACGGCGACGAUGACGACGAGAUCGACACCGACACGGGGUUGCGGCAGUGAUGACGACGACGACAUCCUCACGGUGCUGCGGCGGCGGUGAUGAUGACGACAUCAACACCAUCAAACACAGGCUUGAGGAGGCGCCGGCGACGACGACCUAUAGGCGUGGUGUGUGUGUGUGUGUGUAUUAAUUAUCUAUAGCAGAUAUGUAUGAUUGAUUAUGCAUAAAAUGUACGUAUUAUGAAAUGCAUGUAUGUGAGUACUAUGAAAUGUAUGUCUACACUAGAAUAGGUAGAUUUUUAUAUUUUUUAAAUCCUAAUUAGUUACUAGU